AGUGAACGCUGGCGGCAGGCCUAAUACAUGCAAGUCGAACGGCAGCACAGCAGAGCUUGCUCUGUGGGUGGCGAGUGGCGGACGGGUGAGGAAUACAUGGGAAUCUGCCCAGUCGUGGGGGAUAACGUAGGGAAACUUACGCUAAUACCGCAUGCGCCCUUCGGGGAAAGCCGGGGACCUUCGGGCCUGGCGCGAUUGGAUGAGCCCAUGUCGGAUUAGCUAGUUGGCGGGGUAAUGGCCCACCAAGGCGACGAUCCGUAGCUGGUCUGAGAGGAUGAUCAGCCACACUGGAACUGAGACACGGUCCAGACUCCUACGGGAGGCAGCAGUAGGGAAUAUUGGACAAUGGGCGCAAGCCUGAUCCAGCCAUGCCGCGUGAGUGAAGAAGGCCCCUCGGGUUGUAAAGCUCUUUUGCCGGAAAGAAAAGCGCCGGGGUUAAAUACCCCGUUAAGUGUCCUGACGGUACCGG
rnacentral:rRNA from 1 species